rnacentral:sRNA from 1 species
GUCAGUAACCCAGCCCUCUGGGCUUGCAAGAGUAAUCAAGCAAGCCGUACUGACCAGACCACCCUGAGUUUACUCUCAUGGUAGCCGUUAUUUGAGUCACGACACCCCGGAAUGCGAAGCUAGUUCCCUGCUCUGUCGCUUGUGAUUAAACAGUUCUAAGGUCACUGGAACAGUGUUGCAAGCUCAAGCAAGCUCUUAUAACAGGUCGAAGCUAACAUUACCCCAGAAAUGGG